rnacentral:rRNA from 1 species
AAUGUCUGGGAAACUGCCUGAUGGAGAGGGAUAACUACUGGAAACGGUAGCUAAUACCGCAUAACGUCGCAAGACCAAAGAGGGGGACCUUCGGGCCUCUUGCCAUCGGAUGUGCCCAGAUGGGAUUAGCUAGUAGGUGGGGUAACGGCUCACCUAGGCGACGAUCCCUAGCUGGUCUGAGAGGAUGACCAGCCACACUGGAACUGAGACACGGUCCAGACUCCUACGGGAGGCAGCAGUGGGGAAUAUUGCACAAUGGGCGCAAGCCUGAUGCAGCCAUGCCGCGUGUAUGAAGAAGGCCUUCGGGUUGUAAAGUACUUUCAGCGGGGAGGAAGGGAGUAAAGUUAAUACCUUUGCUCAUUGACGUUACCCGCAGAAGAAGCACCGGCUAACUCCGUGCC